GCCGGGCAGGGAGAGGAGGUGGGACGAGGCGGGGCGUUGCGGCCGCCGUGCCAGGGUGACCGGUUUCGCUGUAUUCGAGGUGGCGGGGCGGGCGGAAAGAGCAGGGAGGAGGCCGUGGUGCAGGAUGGCGGCAACAACCUACGAGCGGCUGAAGCUGCAUAUCACACCUGAAAAAUUUUAUGUGGAAGCUUGUGAUGAUGGAACAGAUGAUGUACUUAUCAUCGACCGUGUGUCCACAGAAGUUACACUCUCAGUCAAGAAAGAUAUUCCUCCUUCAGCUGUCACAAGACCAAUAUUUGGUAUACUGGGCACAAUUCAUCUGGUGGCAGGUAAUUAUCUAAUUGUCAUUACCAAAAAGAAAAAAAUAGGUGAAUUUUUCAAUCAUGUAAUCUGGAAAGCAAUAGAUUUUGAUGUCCUUUCUUAUAAGAAGACAAUGUUGCACUUAACUGAUAUUCAGUUACAAGAUAACAAAACUUUCCUAGCAAUGAUAAACCAUGUCUUGAGUGUGGAUGGAUUUUAUUUUUCAACGACAUAUGAUUUGACCCAUACUUUGCAGCGGCUGUCUAACACUAGUCCAGAAUUCCAGGAAAUGAGUCUCUUGGAAAGGGCAGACCAGCGGUUUGUAUGGAAUGGUCAUCUUCUAAGAGAACUUUCUGCUCAGCCAGAGGUCCAUCGGUUUGCUCUUCCGGUAUUAUAUGGCUUUAUUACUAUGCACUCAUGUUCUAUUAAUGGAAAAUACUUUGAUUGGAUUCUCAUCUCGAGGAGGAGUUGUUUCAGAGCUGGUGUCCGCUAUUAUGUAAGAGGAAUUGAUUCUGAAGGCCAUGCAGCUAACUUUGUAGAAACAGAACAAAUUGUGCACUACAAUGGGAGCAGAGCUUCAUUUGUACAGACUCGAGGAUCAAUACCACUUUACUGGUCUCAAAGACCAAAUCUCAAGUACAAACCACUGCCACUGAUCAACAAAGUAGCAAAUCAUAUGGAUGGUUUCCAAAGGCAUUUUGAUUCACAAAUAAUUAUUUAUGGAAAACAAGUCAUAAUCAAUCUGGUUAAUCAGAAGGGCUCAGAGAAGCCACUUGAACAGGCGUUUGCAACAAUGGUGUCUUCCUUGGCAAAUGGAAUGAUCAGAUAUAUUGCCUUUGACUUCCAUAAGGAAUGUAAAAAUAUGAGAUGGGAUCGACUAAGUAUUUUAUUGGAUCAAGUAGCAGAAAUGCAAGAUGAAUUAAGUUAUUUUCUAGUGGACUCUGACGGCAAGGUGGUGACUAACCAGGAAGGCGUGUUCCGCAGCAAUUGCAUGGAUUGUCUGGACAGAACUAAUGUGAUCCAGAGUCUGUUAGCUCGUCGUUCGCUUCAGGCCCAGCUUCAGAGACUAGGAGUUUUGCAUGUGGGACAAAAGCUUGAAGAACAAGAUGAAUUUGAGAAGAUUUACAAAAACGCCUGGGCUGACAAUGCAAAUGCUUGUGCCAAACAGUAUGCGGGAACUGGUGCCUUGAAGACUGACUUUACCAGAACUGGGAAGAGAACUCAGUUGGGACUUAUAAUGGAUGGCUGGAACUCACUGAUACGGUAUUACAAGAACAACUUUUCUGAUGGAUUUAGACAAGAUUCCAUAGACUUAUUUCUUGGGAACUAUUCAGUGGAUGAAUUAGAAUCUCAUAGUCCUUUAAGUGUUCCAAGGGAUUUGAAAUUCCUGGCUUUGCCUAUUAUCAUGGUUGUCGCCUUUUCCAUGUGCAUUAUCUGUUUGCUUAUGGCUGGGUCUGCUGCAGCUCUGCCACAUGACAUCUGCAUCCUGGGACCCAGAGUGACGGAACAGCUUCACACAGAACAUUACCAGCUGUCCUGGCAGAAAGAAAAGGGAGAAGUUUCUGCUUGAAGGUGACAAUCUCUUCUGUUCACAUUUCAUUGGUCAAAGCAAGUCGCAUGGCCAUACUUGAAGUGAUGGAGGGAGGAGAGUGUAGCCCCUGGGGAGGGACUGUGUGCUGGCAUCCGACACAGGCUCCAGUUUUCUUUUCCCACUGGGUUAACGGGAAGAGUCAGCAGAGAGCCUUCCCGACUCCCUCCGUCCUGCUGUGCGGUGCUGCCACCGUCACACAUCAGGCUCCCCUCCACUUGCGGGGUUUCGGCUUUCUGUUCUGUCCCGUUGGCCUGGGUGUUUUCACUGCUGAGAACCCUUCCUCACGCAGCCGUGUCUUGCAGGAUGGCCUGGCUCUUCCCUGAGCUCUGGGCCCCCAGCUUCUCAGUCUGUUCGGCAAAGCAUUGUCCUGAGUGUUUGGAAUAACACGAGUCCUGUGUGCUCAGAGCUGUUUUUUGACAGUAGGGAUCUGUGGUGAGAACCAUUUGGAAACAUUGGGUUAAACAUAGUCAAAGACUUGUCUCAAUUCUCAGACUUGUCAGAGGUUUGACUCCCCUAGAGGGUGUGUGCAACGCAGCAGCACCCAGACUUUUUGGUCUGUGGAAUUUUUUAUUUACAGAGCAUCUCAAUAGGACGAUUCUGUGAAACUGAUUUUGAAUAAGGCUCGCAUGAGGGCGAGCACUCUGGCCGUGGAGUUAAAGAAAACAUGGGCUCUAAUUUAUAUUUGGACCUCACUUGUGUGUUGAACCUGGUCUCUUAACUAUAAAUCCUUGGAUUCUCAUCCAUAUGGCAGUUCCCUAGGAUAAUACAUGCACACGGACACACCCCUGCUGAGAAACCCAGGUAAAUCUACAGGCGGGAGCUCUUCCUUGAUGUCCAGCUCUCAUCCUCUGUGUUGGACAUCACACAGAGGCUCCAUAAAUGGGAUUUCACUGCGGGGGUGGAGGGGGAGAGACAAUUAAAAGGAGUUGUGACAUGUUUAUUACCACGAAUGCCCUGGUCCUGCGUGAACUGGUCAGAUGGCCUAUUUGUUCUUAGCACUUUCCUUUACAGAUUAUUCUGAGCAUAACUUCGUGUUUGCUUUUUGUUUGUUUUAGCCAAAGGCCCAGACAUUCGUCUUUCUUCACCAUUUUCAGUGAUGCGUGCCUGUUGCCUGUUUAUUUUUCUAGCUGUAGGAAGCUAAAGUCUCAUCUAUUAAAAUAUCAUGUUACAUUUUAUGUCCUAAAUUGAGCUCCUAUUAGAUUUCGGUUUAAACAUAGACUCUGAGGUUAGGAGAAGUAGAAAGUACAGGUUGUAAGUCAUGUUUGGAGAAUUUAAGAUGUCCUUCUCCUGACCUUUUGAGAGCACACAUUCUCCUGGGUUCUGUCCAGCUUUACUCAGAACUCCAUUGCCUACUGAUGUCUCCUCUCUGCUUUAUCCCUGUUCUAGUUAUCUAUUUCUGGAAAGUAAUCUCACAGUGUUGCGAGUUAGGAAUGGAGCCUGGCACAGCUGGGUGAUCUCUUCUGUUCCAGAUGGCACUGACAGAGGUCACUCAGUGACACUCAGCUGACAGAGGGGCUGGUCUCUGGUCUGCGCUGGUUUGGUGCUGCACAAGGGUGGGUGGAAGGUGGACCAGCUGGUUCUGUGAGCUGGAGCACCUCCAUGUGGCUUUGCAGCACGGCAGCCUCAAGGUCGUAGGACUUCAUACCUGGUUGGUUCACGGCGGCCGGAGUGAGAGUUCCAGCAAACCAGGUGGAAGCUUGCAUGGUAUGAUCUAGCCUCUAAUGUCCAAUGGUGUCCCUUCCGCCAUAUUCUAUUGGUUGGAGCACUCACAAACCCACUCAGAUUCAGGGGGAGGGACACAGACCCCCUCUCUCAAUGAGAAAGAUGGAAAAGAACCUGUGGCCCUGUCUGGACACAUGUUGGAUUUUUUUGUAGGCUUUGGUCCUAAGCCCUCCUCUCCAUGUACACACUUACCCCAGGUGAUGUCAUUUAGACCCAUGGUUUUAAAAUAGCAUCUUGAUGCUGUGACUCCCAAAUACAGAUACAUCUAGAUCGGACCUUUCCAAAAGGUUCAGAUUCUAAUGUUCUGCUGCCUACCUGAUAUUCCCACCUGAUUCACAGGCAUCUCAAACUCAGUAUGGUCAAGCAGAGCUCUUUUUUUUUCCCCCCAGAGCUCUUGAUUUAUACUCUGCAGACUGGUUCCAUGCCGAGUUUUCUCCAUCUCAGGAAAUGCCACCAGCAUCCACCCAAAUCUAAGAGCCAUGAAGUCCAGGGACCAGAACUUUCCCCAGAGCCUACACAGGGACUGGAUUGUAAUAUACUCCAUAAAGGCUGAUCUUAUGCAGGGCCCUGGUUCUCAGAUUUGGCAGGUUCCAGGGCGUGGCCUGGACACCAGGAGUUUUAAAUGCUCCCGGGUGGUUUGAAUGGACACUGAGGUGGAGGACCACUGAAGUACAGCAACUGUCAAUGAAGAGCUGCUCUAGAACAACAUUUGUGUCUACACUCCUGAGGAUACCUAGCAUUCAGGGCUGAAAUACCCAGGUGAUAACCAACCCCCGAGGGGCGGCCCCUGUUGUAAGACAGUGACCUGGGCUGGGGGCUCGGAGACUGUGACCCGUAAGGAUUCAGGAACAGACUCUGUGCUGUGUAUUUGCUGUUGAGUGUGCUCACUCUCCAAGCCUUGAUAGCCGAGGUUUUGUGACACCGAAGAACCCUCUGAUGAGAAAUCAGAGGACUGACUAGUUGUGGUAAGUAAAUGCUGGUUCAUGCAUUUUAAAGCCAAGUGAUUUUUUUUUCUUUUCCAUUAUGGUUUAUCACAGAAUACUGGAUAUAGUUCCCCGUGCUAGAGUAGGACCUUGUUGUUUACCCAUUCUAUAUAUAAUAGUUGGCAUCUGCUGAUCCCAGCCUCCCAAUCCAUCCUUCCCCCACGCCCCCUCCUCCUUGGCAAACCACACGUCUGUUCUGUGUGAGUCUGUUUCAUAGAUAAGUUCAUUUGUAUCAUAUUUUAGAUUCCACAUAUAAGUGAUAUCAUAUGGUAUUUGUCUUUCUCUUUCUGACGUACUUAGUAUGAUCAUCUCUAGGUCCAUCCAUGUUGCCGCAAAUGGCAUGAUUUCGUUCUUUUUUAUGGCUCAGUAAUAUUCCAUUGUAUAUAUGUACCACAUCUUUAUCCAUUCAUCUGUUGAUGGACAUUUAGGUUGUUUCCAUGUCUUGGCUAUUGUAAAUAGUGCUGCUGUAAACACAGGGGUGCCUGUAUCUUUCUGAAUUAUAGUUUUGUCUGGAUAUAUGCCAAGGAUUGGGAUUGCUGGAUCAUAUGGCAACUCUAUUUUUAGUUUUUUGAGGAACCUCCAUACUGUUUUCCAUAGUAGCUGCACCAGUUUACAUUCCCACCAACAGUGUAGGAUGGUUCUGCUUUCUCCACACCUUCUCCAGCAUUUGUUAUUUGUAGACUUAUUUUUUUUAAUUUUUAUUUGUUUAUUUGGCAGGGGCUACUCUUUGUUGCGGUGUGCGGACUUCUCAUUGCAGUGGCUUCUCUCGUUGCGGAGCACAGGCUCUAGGCACGCGGGCUUCAGUAGUUGUGGCUCACGGGCUCUAGAGCGCAGGCUCAGUAGUUGUGACACACAGGCUUAGUUGCUCCGCAGCAUGUGGGAUCUUCCCGGACCAGGGCUCGAACCCAUGUCCCCUGCAUUGGCAGGUGGAUUCUUAACCACUGCGCCACCGGGGAAGCCCUAUUUGUAGACUUUUUAAUGAUGGUCAUUCUGACUGGUGUGUGACAUUUUGAUUUGUAGUUUUGAUUUGCAUUUCUCUAUUAGUGAUGUUGAGCAUCUUUUCAUGUGCAUGUUGGCCAUCUGUAUGUUGUCUUUGCAGAAAUGUCUAUUUAGGCCUUCUGCCCAUUUUUGGAUUGGGUUAUUUUUUGUUGUUGACCUGUUUGUAUAUUUUGGAAAUUAAGCCCUUGUUGGUAACAUCAUUUGCAAGUAUUUUCUUCCAGUCCAUAGGUUGUCUUUUUGUUGUGUUUAUGGGUUUUUUUUGCUGUGUAACAGCUUAAGUUUGUUUAGGUCCCAUUUGUUUUUAUCUCUGUUCUCUCGGGAGAGUGAGCUAAGAAAACAUUGGCACGAUUUAUGUAUGUCAGAGAAUGCUUUACCUAUGUUCUCUUCUAGGAGUCUUACGGUGUCGUGUCUUAUAUUUAAGUCUUUAAGCCAUUUUGAGUUUAUUUUUGUAUAUGGGGUGGGGGUGUGUUCUAACUUCAUUGACUUACAUGCGGCUCUCCAGCUUGCCUAACACCACCAAGUGGUCUUUUUAUGGGCAUCAGGUGAAGCUGGAAGUUCAAGACUGCCUAAGACCUUUCUAAUGCCUAUUUCUUGUUAUAGGGAAGUUUAUGGCAUGAAAAAGAAAAGCCAUCUCUAGAACAUCUGAUGUUCCAGGUGAAUGUGUAAACUCGAGAAGACGAUGGGCUGAGUGCUUCCGGAGUCAAUAUUUCCAAAAGCAGCCGAGGCGGCUCCAUCUGUACGUAAGUGGCUGUAAGAUAGCGGCUGACGGCAGUCUCGGGGAAGCCCAGCUCUCAGGCCACGGAGGCUGUGUCUCUCCGCUUGAGGUGGCGCACGAUGAAAGUCCCCAGGGCCCCCAGGGGGAUGCACAUGGUAGAGGAGGCCACGAGCAGCCCAAUGAUGGCCAGUGCAUACAGGGGGUAGUCCUUGGUCACAAGCUGGCCCUGAAGAAGGAACCUGAGUGUCAGAAGAAAGAACCUCCCGUGCGGAGCCUUCCGAGGGCACCACCCCUCCAGGCCUCGGGCCCUCCAGCGCGAGGAAGAGAGCAUCUGCGGCCGGGCAUCCUUGCACACGGGGCCGCCCCAGCUCUGCGUGCAGGUCACUAGUGGCUCUGCUGGGCAGACUAACUCCCCCUGUGCAUACUGUUUGGAGCUAUCUGGAAAGAGCAGCCAUGAGAAUAAUCCAAGGCUUACGUUGAAGGCAGCAGCAGGGCACCUAAAUGUAGGGGCUACCUGUCCAGUACAGCAGCCACCAGGCAGGUGGCCAUUGAGCACUGGGAAUGUGGCCGGGGAUGCGCAAGAAGUGAAUUUUAAAUAUUGUUUAAAUUUCAGUAGCCACAUGUGGUUAUUAGCUUCUGUGUCCAGCAGCACAGCUCUCAUCUCAGGAGGAGUGUUGAUGGACCUCAGGACUUACUUGGAAGAAUGAUGGAUGGUUCCGUAAAUGCAAAACUGAUGAGAAACCAGUUGAGGCCCAAAAGCCACUAAAUGCUACACUACCUUUCCACAAAGGAACCAGAGGACAGCUAAAUCCAGGGAGCAGGUACUUGCUGUCAACCAAAGCACGUAUGGUUUGUAAACCAAAAUGCCAGCCGGAGUGUGGCCGCGGGAACCAGCCCACAGACUUCUGUUGCUCGUCUGUUACUCAUUGUGUUCUGUGUGACGAGUACAGGAAUUGGGAGGAAACAAAUGAUUUUAGCAGUUUGACAGCCUAUAAUCCUGUUCUGCUGAAUCUGAUACAUAUUUGGUGCUUGUAUUUGCUCUACCUUUUUUUUUAAGGAAUUCACUGUUAAUUGCAUUUUCCAAAAGUAUCAGGCUGCAGGGACUGGAGGAAACACCCUGCUCCUCCACUGCGGGGUGGGAAGCCCUGCUCGGCACCACUGCCAGAACCAGACGCGGUGGCGCCUUCCAGCCAUGGUGCAGCGUGGAGUGUGUGGACUGGAGCACGGGGUGCACACUGCACACACACCAUAUGCUAAGGGGCAGCAUCUUCUACCCACAGGGAAAGAAAUCCAAAUUGGUCAGUUGUAUUACUUUCCUUAAAAAGUAAAUCUUUUUUAUGAGAGUGUGUCUGUGCAAGGACAGCCAAGGCUGACCCUCAGGCCCGGUGCCGUGAUACGGCUGUCCAGGUUGUUAAAACACUGAUGUGCUGCCCUCUGCUGGGUGAGCAGAUGCAGCCCAGCCUCCUGAGUGCCCCUCUCAGUCCCCGGUUCUGUCCUAGCAACUCCAGUGUAAACGCCAGUCCCUGCCCCCCCCAGCUCCUCAGGGGCCAUGCCCUCCAGCCUUGCUUGGCCUUGCCUGAGUGGCCUCAGUGGACAGAGGCCACCAGGAAGUUCUGGACGGAAUCUCACUCUCUUCACUGCAGCCCAUGUUGAAAAACUCAGCCCAGCUGCUGGGCUGAGUAUUUUUACAUACCUGGGUGAUGUUUUUACAUACCUGGGAGGCGUCCCAGGCUUGGUACUGCAGGGUCCCUGUGAUGAUGUAGUCACUCAGGUAGAAGACAAAGAGGCUGAUGAUGAGCAGCGGGCUCACACCGCCCCACAUGGCCUUCCAGUACCAGUUCAGAGCGUGUCCAGUCAUAGCCUUAAGGUCGCUUUCGAAUCUGUUUGGAGGUGGGGAGAGAAAGCUUGGAUUAUCCAUGCUGUUGGCGCCAGGCAGUCCAGGCCACACCUCCUCGUCUGCUCAGGAAGAUUCUGUGCUGGGCACCACUGAUGUCUGAACACGACCACUGGGCAGUCUCUGAUUCCUUGUGGGGGUCUUGGGGGCAGGGAGGGAAGAAGGGCUGAAGCCGCCACAGAGGGGGCAAAGCAACCACCCAUAGGCGAGUGGACAUCAGAGGCCAUCCUCCUGGUGCCGGCCUUCAGCUGGAGGCUGCUGCUGUACACCAGAGGGCCUGGCGGGAUGCCUGUGAAGCCAGUCCUCAACACCAGGGGACCGCGAGGGCAGCCCUGCUCCACCCCUCCCACCCUGCUGUCUGUCAGCAACUCUCCUUCCCCCUAGAAACGCCCCCACAGGGGAAUCGCUUUUGUCCCCUGAAACCAGAGCAGGUUUUCUGGGGCAGAGGGAAAACCUGAAGGAAGCAGAAGCACCUUGGCCCUGACCCGUUGGAGCUGGCAUGGAGUGGUGCUUCCCAAGUGUAGCUGCCUGCAGCCCACCAUUGUGAUUCCCAUCGUCUGUGGGCUUUUUAUAAUUGACUCAUUUACCUGAAUUUAGCAAUAGCAUGACAAUAUAUCCGUUUUACCAUGGAUUGGAUAGGCUAAUCAUAUUUUUCUGCCCCCCCCCCCACACACACACACAAAUGAGGAUGGAAAGUAUCUCAGCACUUUGAGAAAUGCUGACCCAGCCACGUUUCCCAGGGGAGGGGACCGAGGUCCAGGGCUGUGAUGUGACUUGCCUGAGGGCACCCAGGUAGUGGCCGACCCAGGCCCAGCAUCCGGAUUGGUGUCUUACCUCCAGUCCAGGGCCUUUGAAACUGCUCCCCACGGCAGAAAAGGCAGCCAUGGGGGAGGGGAGGGGGCCGGGUGAGACUGUCACAGGGGGAACCACAGCCCCUGCCUCUCCUGGACCCUGCAGCGUGUCCAUCACCACCUGCGCCCCCCCCCCCCCCCCCCCCCGCAGACCACAAAGACCCACGUGCAUAAUGUGAACACUUGGGACUCUCGAAACUACAUGUGGCAGAAAGUGUUGUGAGGCAUGGCCUUCACGGGUGGGUUUCCUGGGCGGCUGGCGGGGCAGGCCUCCUACCUCCUCAGUCCGUACAGGUAGCACACGGCGGCCGCCUCCACCAGGACAAUGAGCAGCAGGGGCAGCGUGGCAGCGUAGUCAUUGAAGAUGUCGAACCAGUAGUUGCCGGCCUCCAUGGUGAACACCAAGCCGAUGGCACAGCUGACGAGGCACACCAGACCUAGGAGCACAAGACCGCCUGCUCACCCGCCUGAGACCCCGGCCUGCGCACCCAGCUUUCUAUGGGGCCCAAGAGCCAUGGACCCUGAGGAGGCGCUGGCCGUUCAGUUCAUCCUCAUGGGCUGGGGGAGCCGUCGUGGACUGGCCUCUCUGCACGUGUGUGCCACGUGUGUGUGUUGGGCAGCGUGGGGCAAAGGUGUUGCAAGGAGUGUCAGCAGGACUUCCUGCUGUUAAUUCAUGGGGCCGUCCAGUAGUGGGGAAUCAAACUUGGUGGAAAAGAGAAACUUGUAGGCGUUACUGUCUAGGGGAAUCUCACCCAAUCUAUGGGUCUGGUGACUCUGUUUAUCCCAGCAACUCAGCCACUAAGCUCAUGGGAAGUGAAUCAGGGGAGGAGAUUUGAGCUGCAGGGCACCCCUCACAGGACCCCCUAGAGAGGAUUCACAUCUGACCAGAAGAGAGGAGUAGGGAGGGGAGGAGAAGAAACAAAUGCUUACCCAGCUGCUACUGCGCCCCAGGCACUUGCCAUGCAGUGGAGGCUUUAGCUUCUGGGGCAGGUUAUCAGGAGCCCCCUUCUACAGAGGGGGAAGCCAAGGCUCAGAGAUGUCGGGUAACUUUCCCAACAUUCCACAGCACAGAAAGAAAGUUGGAAUUCAGACACAGGCCCUUCUGUCUCCAGAACCGAAGCUCUGGCUCCAGUCUCUGCUGCCUCCCUUGGGCACCCCACAAAGUAUUAGACUCUAAAGCUCCCACCUGCCCUUUCCAUGGCCACAGCCUACACCCACCAGCCAGUGAGCCCCACUGCUGUCCUGAGGCGGACACAAGAACAGGCUCUGUGCAGGAGGGGAGGCUCACAUAAUGCUGGCUCCUGAGGGCAGGGAGGCUAAGCGCUAGAGGGCUCUGGUGGGAGCUGGGUUUGAUGUGGGCUGGGACGAGGGGUUCUGGAUGUGGGGGUGAGGAGUUACGGUUCUCUGGACACUGCCAGGUUGCACUGGAGCAGAUGGGUGGUGGAGUGAAGUGGAGAGGCAGGCCUGGAUAAACAGGCUCUUGCCCUCACAAGGCAAAGGUCUGCCAGCUGCAGAAUGGGUAGAUGAAUUGUGGUGUAUGGUCUUAGGCUGGAUUAUUACGCGGACGGGAAAGAGGACGGGGAUGGGGGCGUACUGAUGGGGCAGGAGCAGGGAGGGGCUCUCCGGUGUGAGAAAUGUACGUGUUGUUGUUAUGCUUCAGUCAACACAAAGACAAAAGCAGGUUCUCUGCUCGCCUGGAGAGCUUUGAGGGCCGUGCUGGGGGGUUUGGCCUUUGCGAAGGUUGGGGUGACCACUUCACUCCCCUGUGAUGUGGAGAACCAGGUGCAUGGGGUGAAUCAUGUGUACCAGGUCCCAGAUUGCCCGAGAGGAGAGAGCCAUGGCAGGACCCCAGUGAGGCUGCUGCGGCCUCUCGCUGAGCCCGCGGCCCCUGAGGAGACUCCUCCCUCUGCUCACCUCCCCGAGCCCCGCCGCCUUCGCUGGCCCACUCACCUGAGAUUGCCUCCUUGGGCAGGUAGCUGGAGAUGACCUUGCUGUCGGUCAGAGGGGUGAGGAUGGCGGCCGUGUUCCCCAGCAUGCUUCCAAUGCCCAGCAUCAGCAGCAUGAAGAAGUAGAGCACCGACCACAGCUGGGACACCUCCAUGUUUUUAAUGGCCUCUGUGUAGACGAUGAAGGCCAGGCCGGUGCCCUGGACGGCCUGCCCACAGGAUGAAGACACCAGUUACACACCCGGGCGACUUAGGACUUCUUCCCCAGGUGCUAAGCUACUUGGGGAACCUGAGAAUCAGCCACGAGAAGCCACAUUCUGAGGUUGGAUCUUCCACCUGCACACCAGCCCACUGUAAGCUGGGCUGGACAGAAAUGCGAGCUGUCAGGAGCCCUUAUUUGCAAAGUGUGAGGAGACACCUCAGUCAACUUGGAACGCUGAGUUCCUCUCUCCUGCCCCAACUCACAUCAUUAUGGAUAAAAUAUAGUAAAAUAAUGGUUGCAUAAUUUCUGCUUCCUGUAUCAUGACUGACUGGGUGUUCCGGGAGCUGAGAUAGUGGAGCCACAGCUACAGGGGCCAGAAUGGUGGGGAGCUGGCCUGGCCGGCAGGCAACCAAGUGGGCAGGCUGCUCAGAGGCCAGAUGCCUGCGGCGGUAACGCUGCUGUAGGGAUACUGAACUGUGGAAAUAGAGCCUCAGCUCCUGGUUGAAAGGGCUUAUGGGUGGGGGUGGGGAAGCACCCCCUGGCUGCCAGCAGCAGAAGCAGCAGAAGCAAACACUGGGGAAGGCUUCCAUUGCAGGUCUGAAUUGGGUUACCUGUAAGACCACCAGAGAUGAUCAAGCGGUGAGCUUGCAACCCGAGAUUUAUAAACUGACCAGAAAACAUGCCACUGUGAGUGAAGAGUCAGCAGGAAUAAGAACUAAGAUUUCAGCACCCUUCCCCUGGAAUGGCAGAUGUUGGAUUGUCAGAUUCAAAAUACAGGUCAGCUCAACAGCAUACCAAUGGGGACAAUGGUAUUCAUCCGCCCUGGGUGCAGACCAUAAGGGAGUGAUCACUUGCAGAGAAUUUAAAAACAACAGAACCUACUAAAGGUGGCCUGCUUUUUAUUACCAUGAGCCGACAGUGCUAAGCAGUGUCACUGAUAAUACAUGCCCCCAGAAGACAGCUGGGAUGCAAUAAAGGUGAACAAAUAAACUAGCAAGCAUGCCGGUCAAUACAGACACUGUUGUAUAAAAUAACAAUAGCAUCCAAUUUAUCAGUUUAAAAAGAAUUGGGAACUUCCCUGGUGGCUCAGUGGUUAAGAAUCCACCCGCCAAUUCAGGGGACACGGGUUCGAACCCUGGUCCGGGAAGAUUCCACAAGCCACAGAGCAACUAUGCCUGUGCGCCACAACUAUUGAGCCCACGCGCCUAGAGCCUGUGCUCUGCAACAAUAAAAGCCACCACAAUGAAAAGCCCGGCCCUCAUACCGCAGAGAAGAGUAGCCCCCCACUCACCACAACCCCACGUACAGCAUCAAAGACCCAAUGCAGCCAAAAAAAAAAAAAAAAUCUGUUAACCUUUAAAAAAUAAAUAAAUAAGAAUUGGACAUAAAAGGUAUUUAAAACAAGAGGGGUGAGUGAAAGUGUCUGAAAGUCCUUGUACUGUUUGGGAAGGAACUCAAGGUAUAGUUUAACUUUAAACUUUGUUAAAGAUUCAUGGAAAAAUUCAAGUGGAAAAAAGUCUAAAUAAAUCAAUAACCACACAAUUCUUGGGCACUGAGCCAAACUCAAAAAGUAAGUGAGGAAAAUUCCCAGGUGCCAGAAACAAAAAGGAAAUUUGAACUGAGCAGGAACACAAGUAGGCCUCAGAACAGGAUCCAGGCCUUAAAGGCAGGGGCUGAGGUCUGGGGAUCUGCUGACACCCUGGUAGGGAGGGUCGUGCCACAGGUCAGUGUAAGCAGGGAGGAAGGAAUAACAAAGUGUUGCCUCAUCCACGAAAUGACCUGGAAUGGCUCCACCUAUGAAAUCAAAGGGCCAAAAAAACUCCAAGGUACCUUAUUGGCAAGCAGAGCUAUGGACCUUUACUGUUCCCUCUUCUUGAAAGGCAUUCUCUAGAGACACUUUCUAGAAGCAGUCUCUAGAAGUAUUUACAUUAAAUAUAAGAAUUAGACAAACAUGCCCACUCUCAUUUGCACUUCCACUGUGCUAGAAAAAAAUUCCUAGGAUCCGCAGGUGCCAUAAGAAUUACAUAGAAAAGUAAAGCAAAUAUAUAGACAAAUAUGAGAAUAAGAGAAUUCAUCAAGGUUGCUAACAAAAACUGUUAGCUUUUUUUUGCAACGAAAACCAGCAAUGGUAGAAAUUGGGAAAUGAACACUAUUUACAAUAGGAACAAAACAAUAAGGUUCAUAGACAUAAAGGUAAAUCAAAGAUCUGCCAGGAUUUUGUGGAGAAAAAUUAGUUGCAGAAUAUAAAAGAAGACUUCAGUGAAUGAUGAGAAAAAGCCUGCUCCUAAAUCAGAAGUCACAGUUGAAAAAAAUAUUGAUUGUUCCCAAAUUAUAUUACAGAGUCAGUGCAAUUCUAAUAAAAGUUAAAGGGAUUUCCCACCCCCCAGUGGAACUUGUCAAAUUGACCUGAAAAUUAAUGUGAAAAAAAAGGUCCCAGGGACUUCCCUGGUGGCAUAGUGGAUAAGACUCCACACUCCCAACACACGGGGCCUGGGUUCUAUCCCUGGUCAGGGAACUAGAUCCCACAUGCAUGCCGCAACCAAGGAGCACGUGAGCCUUAACUAAGGAGCCCACGUGCCGCAACUAAGGAGCCUGCCUGCCUCAACUAAGAGCUGGCUCAACCAAUAUUAAAAAAAAAAAAGUCCUAGAAUAAUGUUGCUAAAAUGGCUACACUACGCAAAGCAAUCUACAGAUUUAAUGAGAUCCUUAUCAAAUUAUACAUGGCAUUUUUCACAGACCAGAAUAAUCCUUUAUAUGGAACCAAAAAAAGACCCAGAAUUGCCAAAGCAAUCCUGAGGAAAAAGAACAAAGCAGGAGACACAACCCUCCCAGACUUCAGAAAAUACUACUAAGCUACAGUAAAGAAAACAGUGUCAUGGUCUGGUCACAAAAACAGACAUAUGGAUCAAUGGAACAGAAUACAGAGGCCCGAAAUAAACCUACACACCUACAGUCAAUUAAUCUUCAACAAAGAAAGCAAGAAUAUACAAUGGAGAAAAGACAGUCUUUUCAGCAAGUAGUGUUGGAAGCUGAACAGCCGCAAAUAAAGUUAGCACACACCCUCACACCAUACACAAAAAUAAGCUCAAAAGGGAUUAAAGUCUUAAAUACAAGAUAUGACACGAUAAAACCCCAGAAGAGAACAUAGGCAAAACAUUCUGUGACAUAAAUCAUACCAUUUUCUUAGGUCAGACUCAAGGCAACAGAAAUAAAAGCAAACCUACCAAUGGACCCAAUCAAACAUAAAGCUUUUGCACAUCGAAGGAAACCAUGAACAAAAAGACAACUACGGACUAGGAGAAAAUAUUUCAAAAUGAUGCAACCUACAAGGGCUAAAUUUCAAAGAUAUACAAACAGCAUGUACGACUCAACAACAAGACAACCCAAUCAAAAAAAAAAAAAAGGAAAAAAGACCUAAAAACAUUUCUCCAAAAAAAAAAAAUAUAUAUAUAUAUAU